rnacentral:rRNA from 1 species
AACGAACGCUGGCGGCAUGCCUAACACAUGCAAGUCGAACGAGACCUUCGGGUCUAGUGGCGCACGGGUGCGUAACGCGUGGGAACCUGCCCUUAGGUUCGGAAUAACUCCCCGAAAGGGGUGCUAAUACCGGAUAAUGUCUUCGGACCAAAGAUUUAUCGCCUUUGGAUGGGCCCGCGUUGGAUUAGCUAGUUGGUAGGGUACAAGCCUACCAAGGCGACGUUCCAUAGCUGGUCUGAGAGGAUGAUCAGCCACACUGGGACUGAGACACGGCCCAGACUCCUACGGGAGGCAGCAGUGGGGAAUAUUGGACAAGGGGCGAAAGCCUGAUCCAGCAAUGCCGCGUGAGUGAUGAAGGCCUUAGGGUUGUAAAGCUCUUUUACCCGGGAUGAUAAUGACAGUACCGGGAGAAUAAGCUCCGGCUAACUCCGUG